rnacentral:rRNA from 1 species
GACGAACGCUGGCGGCGUGCUUAACACAUGCAAGUCGAACGGAAAGGCCCUGCUUUUGUGGGGUGCUCGAGUGGCGAACGGGUGAGUAACACGUGAGUAACCUGCCCUUGACUUUGGGAUAACUUCAGGAAACUGGGGCUAAUACCGGAUAGGAGCUCCCGCUGCAUGGUGGGGGUUGGAAAGUUUCGGCGGUUGGGGAUGGACUGGCGGCUUAUCAGCUUGUUGGUGGGGUAGUGGCUUACCAAGGCUUGGACGGGUAGCCGGCCUGAGAGGGUGACCGGCCACAAUGGGACUGAGGUAGGGCCCAGACUCCUACGGGAGGCAGCAGUGGGGAAUAUUGCACAAUGGGCGGAAGCCUGAUGCAGCAACGCCGCGUGCGGGAUGACGGCCUUCGGGUUGUAAACCGCUUUCGCCUGUGACGAAGCGGGAGUGACGGUAAUGGGUAAAGAAGCACCGGCUAACUACGUA